rnacentral:rRNA from 1 species
GAUUUAUUGAUUGUCUUGUUGUUUCUAUAAUGUAUUUUUAUUAUUAUAAUUGAAAGAUCAUUAUUUGGUUGUUGUAUUGUUUUGAUUUAAUUUUUUUUACGAUAGAUUAUUUGUGCUGUGAGGGGUUGAUGUUAGUAAUUGUUUUUGUGGAAGUUGAUUUUAUUUGUCGUACCUUGUGUAUCAGGGUUCAUUGAAUUUUAUUAUUUAUUUUUAUUUCCCGAUUUUAAAGGAGUUAAUAAUUUAUAUUAGUUGUUGUUUCAUCAAUAUUAAUAAUGGGUUGUUGGUAGUGAAAUGUUAUUCGUCUUUUGUGGUCUCUGGUUUUUCAAGAAAUGAAUUUAAUUCAUGUAUUAUAUCUAAUUUCUGUUAUUUUUCCAUUUAUUUUUAUGUGGUGCUAAGGUUGAGGGGGAUUAGCUUCUUGUCUUAUUGUUAUAAUUAUUUAUUUAGAUUUGGUUUUGUGGAUUUUAUAGUGAUUUUCGAUUUGAUUAUGUUAAAAUUUUACUUGUUCUUUUAUUUAUUUAUUUUUAAUUUAAUGGUUUUAUUGAAAUAUUUUCUUUAUUUUGGUAUGUGUAGUAAUUAUUGUGGAAUUAGUAAAUCGUUUUAUUAUUUUGUGUCAGGGUAUAUUGUUGUUAAUUAUUUCUUAGGAAUUAGGCAAAUAUUUAUGUCCGCCUGUUUAACAAAAACAUCUUUUCUUGUUAGUUUUUGAAGUAUGGUCUGCCCACUGACGUUUAAAAGUUGAAGGGCCGCGGUAUUUUGACCGUGCAAAGGUAGCAUAAUCAUUAGUUCUUUAAUUGUGAUCUGGUAUGAAUGGCUUGACGAGGCAUUAGCUGUCUUGGUUUUAUUUUGUAUUGAAUUUGGUUUUUGAGUUAAAAUUCUUAGAUGUUUUUAUGGGACGAGAAGACCCUAUAGAGUUUAACAUUUAUUUUUAUUAUUUAAUUUUGUUUGUAUAUUUAUUUUAAUAUGAUGAAUGUUUUGUUGGGGUGAUGGGAGGAAUAAAUUUAACUCCUCUUUGGUUUAGUUAUAUUUAUAUAUAAUUUUGUUUUGAUCCAUUUAUUUUGAUUAUAAGAUUAAAUUACCUUAGGGAUAACAGCGUUAUCUUCCUUGAGAGUUCUUAUUGGCAGGAGGGUUUGCGACCUCGAUGUUGGAUUAAGGUAAAUUUUCGGUGUAGGAGCUGAAUUUGAUUGGGUCUGUUCGACCUUUAAAAUCUUACAUGAUCUGAGUUCAGACCGGCGUGAGCCAGGUUGGUUUCUAUCUAUAAUGUAGUUUUAUACCUUAGUACGAGAGGACCGGGUAUUUGGAAUAAUUUUAUUUGUUUGAUUAUUAUUAAUGUGUUACUAUUUUGGCAGAUAAGUGCAUUGGAUUUAGAAUCUAUUAA